rnacentral:rRNA from 1 species
UACGGCGGGUGCGAGCGUUGAUCGGAAUUACUGGGCGUAAAGGGCGCGUAGGCGGUGGGUUACGUCUGCCGUGAAAUCCCCGGGCUCAACCUGGGAAUGGCGGUGGAAACGGGCUGACUGGAGUAUGGGAGAGGGUGAUGGAAUUCCAGGUGUAGCGGUGAAAUGCGUAGAGAUCUGGAGGAACACCAGUGGCGAAGGCGGUCACCUGGCCCAAUACUGACGCUGAGGCGAGAAAGCGUGGGGAGCAAACAGG